UUUGGUGAUAGUAUCGCUGUGGCACCACCUGAUCCCAUCCCGAACUCAGAAGUGAAACACAGUUGAGCCGACGAUACUUAGUCCGAAGGGUCUUGGGAAAAUAGGUAAUUGCCACUU
rnacentral:rRNA from 1 species